UUCGAAGAUAUUCCAACCGUUUGAGGUACCGCUACAGUUGGUCUGUUUAGCCAUUUUAUUCUGGGAGGAAAAAUUCUACAACCUCGGGUACAGUGAGGGAAAUUAUUUCCUUAAGAAAAUUCCGUGAAUUCGGACGACUGAGUUAUUUUCUGUUUCAUCUUAAUUGCUAAAAGAAUAAAAUACACCUUUUGGAAAGGCCAUUUUGAUCUUGUGUUGAGGGUAUUUGAUAUACUUCAUUGUGUUCUUGUUUAUACUUGAAUUCUAGUUGAAGUUAUUGUUCUGCAUAUACUGAUUCUAUGUACCCGAAGUACAAACGAAAAAAUAACAAUCUUAAGGAAAUAAUUUAAUUUUACAGAAUAUGUAUAACUUGUUUUUGGAGAUUAAAGCUUUAAGUUUUCUACUCCGCUUGAAUUUAACUAGUGAUUAGAAGACAUAAAACCUUCAUCACAAGUUAAAGUUCACUCGGUUGACGAUUUGAAGUUAUAAAAACUUCAUCGUUAAUUAGAAACAAGAAGAAAAGCUGAAAAGUAAUUUAACUUUACAAGUAGUAUUCUGAAAAUAUUAAAUUUUUCUGUCCUGUGUUGACAAAAAGAUGACUAACGAAAGUCAAAUGAUGGAUGCGACAACGUAUGUGGGGGAAACUAAUAUUGCCACAUCAAGUCGCACAAAUGUUCCGCCAACAAUGGCACCGGCGGAGAAGCCCGAAAAAUUUUCGGGCAUUGACUUCAAGCGGUGGCAGCAAAAGAUUUUCUUUUACCUCACCACUUUAUGUCUGCAACGGUUCACUAGCGAAGAUGCUCCUGACGUGCCCGAGGGAACCUCGAACAAAGACCGCUUCGUUAUUGUAGAAGCUUGGAAACACUCGGACUUCCUUUACAGGAAUUAUAUUCUGAGUGGUCUCCAAGACGACCUCUACAAUGUUUAUAGUGGAACCAAGACAUUAAAGGAACUAUGGGGGGCACUUGAAUAAAAAUAUAAGACGGAGGAUACGGAAAUUAAGAAAUUCGUUGUUGCACGGUUCCUGGACUUCAAAAUGAUAGAUAGCAAAUCUGUUGUCUCUCAAGUACAGGAGUUGCAAGUCAUCAUACAUGAUCUCCUAGCAGAAGGUGUAUCUUUGAAAAAUACCUUAGUUGAACAAAUUAAAAAUGUUCUUAAUACUCACAUAAACUGUUUUGUAGGUUUAAUUGUGAAUGAUGCUUUCCAAGUACCAGCGAUAGUUGAGAAGCUACCACCUUUGUGGAAAGACUUCAAAAACUACUAAAGCAUAAACGCAAGGAGAUGACUGUUGAAGAUCUUAUUGUCCGACUUCGUAUUGAAGAGGAUAAUAAAGCUACCGAAGCAAAAAGAAGGAUCAAGCAAAUAUGAUUGAAUCCAACAAAGAAUGCGAUGAUAUGUGUGCUAUGUUCUCAGAAUGUAACUUGACGGGGAAUCCUCGCGAAUGGUGAAUGGAUUCUAGUGCUACCCUCCAUGUAUGUGCCAACAAGGAGUUGUUUUCAUCAUUCGCUCCGGCUCAAGUAGAAGAAAUGAUAUACAUGGAUAACUCCGCUACGGCUAACGUGAAAGGAACAGGAAAACUUUUCUUAAAGAUGACUCCCGAAAAGAUCUUGACACUUAACAAUGUCUUGUAUGUUCCGGAGUUACGUAGGAAUUUAAUUUUUGUUUCACUUCUAGACAAGAACGGAUUCAAAUGUGUAACCGUUUCUAGAAAAAUUGUAAUUAGCAAAGGAGAAAUGUAUGUAGGAAAAGGCUAUCUGACCGUAGGCCUUUACAAGAUGAAUGUAAUGACUGUUGAAAUAAAUAAAAGUUUGAAUUCUUCUUAUUUGCUUGAGUCUUAUGAUUUAUGGCAUUAACGUUUAGGCUAUGUUAAUUACAAAACGUUACGAAAAUUGAGUAACUUAAAAGUUUUGUCAAACUUUGAGUGCAAUAAAUUAAAGUGUCAAAAGUGUGUGGAAUCGAAGUAUGCAAAGCAUCCUUAUAAGUCCGUUGAAAGGAAUUCCAAUCCAUUAGACUUAAUACACACUGGCAUUUAUGAUAUGAAGUCAACACCAUCCCGUGGUGGAAAAAAGUAUUUUUCAUAACUUUUAUUGACGAUUGCACUAGAUAUUGUUAUGUCUACUUGCUAAAUAGUAAGGAUGAAGCAAUAGAUGCGUUUAGGCAAUAUAAAACUGAAGUUGAAAAUCAUUUAGACAAAAAGAUUAAAAUAAUAAGAAAUGAUAGGGGCGGAGAAUAUGAAUCUUCCUUUGCGCAAAUAUGUGUAGAGAAUGGAAUAAUCUAUCAAACUACGGCCCUAUAUUCACCUCAAUCUAAUGAAAUUAAGGAAAGAAAAAACCAAACUUUGAAGGAAAUAAUGAAUGCCUUACUUAUAAGUUGUGGUUUACCGCAAAACUUGUGGGGGGAGGCUAUCCUUACAACCAACCGUAUACUCAAUAGAGUUCCACAUAGAAAGACACAAUCAGUUCCUUAUGAAAAGUGAAAAGGAAGAAAACCCAACUUGAAAUAUUUCAAACUGUGGGGGUGUCUAGCAAAGGUCCAAGUUCCUGUGCCUAAAAGGGUUAAGAUAGGAUCUAAGACGGUGGACUGUGUUUUCAUAGGAUAUGCUAAAAACAGUAAUGCAUGUCGAUUUUUGAUUCAUAAAUUCGAACAUCUGGAUAUUAAUGAAAAUACGGUAAUUGAAUCAGACAAUGCUGAAUUCUUUGAAAACAUUUAUCCGUAUAAAACUAGACAUGAAUAGUCAAGUUGGGGUCUAAACGACCUCAUGAUGAACCAAUUGAGAAUGAACAUAAUGAAGACAAUGCAAGACAUAGUAUACGUCAAAGAACGUCUACAUCAUUUGGAUCAGAUUUUGUAAUAUUUCUCUUAGAAAAUGAGCCUCAAACAUUUAAGAAAGCGAUGACAUCUUCGAAUUCAUCAUUUUGGAAAGAGACAGUCAAUAGUGAGAUUGAUUCAAUCUUAAUCAACCAUACAUGAUAAUUGGUUGAUCUUCCUCCCGGAAAUAAACCUUUAGGUUCUAAAUGAAUCUUCAAAAGGAAAAUGAAAGCAAAUGGCACUAUUGACAAAUACAAGGCAAGACUUGUAGUAAAAGGCUUCAAACAAAAAGAAGGCCUUGAUUAAUUUGAUACAUACUCGCCAGUAACAAGGAUAACAUCGAUUCGAAUGUUAAUUUCCUUAGCGGCGGUAUAUGAUCUUCAAAUCCAUCAAAUGGAUGUGAAAACCGCUUUCCUAAAUGGAGAAUUGGAGGAAUAAAUAUACAUGGAACAACCUGAGGGUUUUGUGGUUCCAGGAAAGGAAAAUAAGUUGUAUAGAAUUAUUAAGUCGUUGUAUGGACUAAAGCAAACACCUAAACAAUGGCAUGAAAAGUUUGACCAAACCAUGUUGGCAAACGGGUUCAAGAUAAAUGAAUGUUAUAAAUGUGUAUAUAUUAAAGAUACUCCAAAUCACCAAGUCAUUGUUUGUUUAUAUGUGGAUGAUAUGUUGAUCAUCAGCAGAGACAUUUCUGACAUAAAUGCAAUCAAACGAAUGCUCGAGAGCAAGUUUGAUAUGAAAGACCUUGGAGUUACAGAUGUGAUCUUAGGUAUAAGAAUCCAUCGAACUCCAUAAGGGUUAGCACUAUCACAGUCUCAUUAUAUUGAAAAAGUACUUGACAAAUUCAAGUAUAUGGAAUUCGGUAUUGCCAAGACUCCAUUGGAUGUGAACUUUGCACGUUGAAAGAAUGAAGGUGACAGUGACUCACAAUUAGGGUACGCAAGAGUAUUGGGAUGUUUAAUGUAUAUAAUGAACUGUACACGACCAGACAUAGCAUGCGUUAUCAGUAAAUUGAGUCGGUACACGAGUAAUCCCAACAAAACUUAUUGGAUGGCAAUGAAAAGAGUUUUGGGGUAUCUUAAAUACACUCAAAAUUAUGCUUUGCAUUAUAAUAAAUAUCCUGUGGUACUUGAAGGAUAUAGUGAUACAAAUUGGAUCACCGGAUCGAACGAAGUCAAAUCCACAAGUGGAUAUGUAUUUACUAUCAGUGGAGGAGCAGUCUCUUGGAAAUCAUCCAAACAGACUUGCAUUGCUCGCUCAACAAUGGAAUCUGAAUUUAUCGCAUUGGAUAAAGCCGGUGAAGAAGCAGAAUGGCUCUGGAAUUUCUUAGAAGAUAUUCCUUAUUGGCCCAAGCCAAUGGCACCAGUAUGUAUACACAGUGAUAGCCAAGCGGCAAUAGGUAGGGCAGGGAGCAUGAUGUACAAUGGUAAAUCUCGUCACAUACGACGAAGACACAAUAUCGUUAAGGAACUUCUCUCUAGUGGAAUUAUCACUGUAGACUAUGUAAAGUCAAAAGAUAAUGUGUCCGAUCCACUUACAAAAGGUCUAUCUAGAGAAGGAGUUGAACGGACAUCCAAGGGAAUGGGUUUAAAGCCUAGGACAAGUCAGCACGGCGGUAACUCUACCUAGCAGACUGGAGAUCCCAAGAGCUAGGUUCAAGGAGAUCAAACAAAAUUGGGUAUGAAAGUUUCAACAUUGUCAAUUACCCAACCCAUUCUCAUGAUGUAGACAAUGUAUAGUAAAAACAAGGAUAAGACUUAAGGUUAAAAGUCUUUUAAUGAUUAUCUAAUUUGGCAGAUUUGACCAAACAAUUUUAAUCUACAGAUUGAACGUUUAGAAAUCAACUAUGUGAGGGCGAAGUGGAAGCCGCUUUAAAGAGAAUGUUAGUAAAGGCAUAUUCUCUAAGCUUUUAUGAAACCGGGACGUGUUUAUGGCUGAAAAGAACAAAACCAUGAGAACCAUAAACGUUAAAAGGCUGAUUGUGUGACAUGUAUUGUCUAGGUGUAUAUUAAAGCUCGACGGUUCAAACAUAUCAAAUCUACCGAUUGACCGAGUGCAUCCGAUGCAUGUUCACUAUGAAAAGUUCAAAGGAAAACCUACUUAUCCAGAUGCAAUCAGUCUUUGUUUGAUGAUCACAUACCUAUCCAUAAAACAUUUACGAAAAAUAGUCAUUCCCCAUUCAUGUGAGGGAUUGUUGGGUUCAAAGUGCGUAUGAAGUGUGAAUGGAAAAUAAAAAAUGGUGGAGGAAAGGAGACACCCAAUUUAGAAAGUGUACUCCAAAUUGGAGUCGUUAAUUCUCCCACAUUGGUGGGAGAAGGGAACUUUGGAGUGUUUAUAAUAAGAACACUUACUCCACAUGGUAAGUGAGGCAUGAAAUAAGAGAUGUCUCGCGCCGUCGUCGUCGUCGCUCGCUCGGCUCGGCUUCAGAUUUAGAUUUGAAUUUGUCAAAUGAUCGAUCGAUGAGAUCUAUCUUUUUGAACAAACUUUAUUUGAAUUCCGAAGAAUGCCAAGGAAAAAUGCAGUAAUUUUUACUACAGAGUUUCGGAACUCCAUUUAUAUACAUGCAGCAUACAGUAACAGAUGCAAUGGUUUGAACAAGAAUGUUUCGAACUGAUAUUUAGUUUCAGAAUGAUGCAACCCUUCUGAAAAUGACACAAUAUUUCGUCAACUAAUAUGACUGUUUCGGAACAAACACACUGAUUCGCAUGAAAUGACAUGAAUGUUUCCGAACAAACACACUCCUUGAUGAACAGACAUAAAUUUACAGAAAAGGUGCAACCUUUGAAGUGAACCAUUGUCUCUUUUCAGAAGAGGCAUGUUAUGACUAUAAAAACCUACUUUCUUCCACAGGUUACAAAAUUUCAGAAUACAAAAUUACUUCUUCUCUUCCAAAUUACUCUGUGUGAUCAAUCAAAAUGUUCUGUGCGUUCGAAGAUAUUCCAACCGUUUGAGGUACCGCUACAGUUGGUCUGUUUAGCCAUUUUUUCCUGGGAAGAAAAAUUCCACAACCUCGGGUACAGUGAGGGGAAUUAUUUCCUUAAGAAAAUUCCGUGAAUUCGGACGACUUGGCUAUUUUCUGUUUCAUCUUAAUUUCUGAAAGAAUAAAAUACACCUUUUGGAAAGGCCAUUUUGAUCUUGUGUUGAGGGUAUUUGAUAUACUUCACUGUGUUCUUGUUUAUACUUGAACUCUAGUUGAAGUUAUUGUUCUGCAUAUACUGAUUCUG
rnacentral:lncRNA from 1 species